GAAAUGCGAUAAGUAGUGUGAAUUGCAGAAUUCAGUGAAUCAUCUAAUCUUUGAACGCACAUUGCGCCCUAUGGUAUUCCGUAGGGCACUCCUGUUCGAGCGUCAUUUACACCUUCAAGCCUUGCUUGGUGUUGGGUGACUGUGGCCCCUUUGGGGCCACUCGCCUUAAAGUCAUUGGCGGCCGGUUCGUUGGCUUUGUAGCGCAGCACAAUUCCGUCCUCGAAGCCGCUGGACCAGCUCCCAGAAGCUAAUUUUAAAUGUUUGACCUCGAAUCAGGUAGGGAUACCCGCUGAACAUGAGC
rnacentral:misc_RNA from 1 species